GAUGAAGAACGUAGCGAAAUGCGAUAAGUAAUGUGAAUUGCAGAAUUCAGUGAAUCAUCGAAUCUUUGAACGCAUCUUGCGCUCCUUGGUAUUCUGAGGAGCAUGCCUGUUUGAGUGUCAUUAAAUUCUCAACUACACUGACUUUGAAUUGGUGUGGCUUGGAUUUGGGGGGAAAAUUGUUGUGGGCUUUUUGUAUAGUCUGCUCCCCUGAAAUUGAUUAGCGGUACCUUUGUGGAACUGUCUACAGGUGUGAUAAUUAUCUACAUCUUAGACAUCUGCUGGAAUGCUGCUUUCUAAACCUUACUUGUAUUGACAAUCUUGACCUCAAAUCAGGUAGGACUACCCGCUGAACUUAAGCAUAUCAAUAAGCGGGGGA
rnacentral:misc_RNA from 1 species